rnacentral:lncRNA from 1 species
UUGUUUUUAUCCUCUGCAUGGUUGUCUCCCAUUUGAUAUGGCGUUGACCUAAAACUCCUUUCAGACUUGAUAACUUCACCUCUCCUCAGCAAAUCUUCUCCCUCGGCUAGGUUUGAGCCUUUGGUUUGUUGAUUUCUCUAUUCUCCAGCAGUUGUCUCCCUCUUUUUGUGGAUUUACCGAUGAUUGUACCGAUGAUUCAAAUUCUU